GAUGAACGCUAGCUACAGGCUUAACACAUGCAAGUCGAGGGGAAACGGCAUCGAAAGCUUGCUUUUGAUGGGCGUCGACCGGCGCACGGGUGAGUAACGCGUAUCCAACCUGCCCAUCACUUGGGAAUAACCUUGCGAAAGUAAGACUAAUGCCCAAUGACAUCCCACGAAGGCAUCCGAAUGGGAUUAAAGAUUUAUCGGUGAUGGAUGGGGAUGCGUCUGAUUAGCUUGUUGGCGGGGUGACGGCCCACCAAGGCAACGAUCAGUAGGGGUUCUGAGAGGAAGGUCCCCCACAUUGGAACUGAGACACGGUCCAAACUCCUACGGGAGGCAGCAGUGAGGAAUAUUGGUCAAUGGGCGAGAGCCUGAACCAGCCAAGUAGCGUGCAUGAUGACGGCCCUAUGGGUUGUAAACUGCUUUUAUAAGGGAAUAAAGUGGGUCACGUGUGACUUUUUGCAUGUACCUUAUGAAUAAGGACCGGCUAAUUCCGUG
rnacentral:rRNA from 1 species